rnacentral:tRNA from 1 species
GCGGCCGUAGCUCAAUUGGCUAGAGCUUCUGACUUCGGAUCAGAAGGUUGCAGGUUCGAGCCCUGCCGGCCGUACCA